rnacentral:rRNA from 2 species
UGGCAUAAGCCAGCUUGACUGCGAGCGUGACGGCGCGAGCAGGUGCGAAAGCAGGUCAUAGUGAUCCGGUGGUUCUGAAUGGAAGGGCCAUCGCUCAACGGAUAAAAGGUACUCCGGGGAUAACAGGCUGAUACCGCCCAAGAGUUCAUAUCGACGGCGGUGUUUGGCACCUCGAUGUCGGCUCAUCACAUCCUGGGGCUGAAGUAGGUCCCAAGGGUAUGGCUGUUCGCCAUUUAAAGUGGUACGCGAGCUGGGUUUAGAACGUCGUGAGACAGUUCGGUCCCUAUCUGCCGUGGGCGCUGGAGAACUGAGGGGGGCUGCUCCUAGUACGAGAGGACCGGAGUGGACGCAUCACUGGUGUUCGGGUUGUCAUGCCAAUGGCACUGCCCGGUAGCUAAAUGCGGAAGAGAUAAGUGCUGAAAGCAUCUAAGCACGAAACUUGCCCCGAGAUGAGUUCUCCCUGAGACUUAGAGUCUCCUGAAGGAACGUUGAAGACGACGACGUUGAUAGGCCGGGUGUGUAAGCGCAGCGAUGCGUUGAGCUAACCGGUACUAAUGAACCGUGAGGCUUAACCUUACAACGCCGAAG